rnacentral:rRNA from 1 species
CAUUAUUGAAUUAAUAAAAGUGGGCUUUCUUGAAGUGGGUUGAUGCUGGUGUUUCUCUCUAACCCGAGACACAUAUUGUGCUCGCCUGCCGAUGGGGGGUUCAUUUUUUGUUAACUUCUUUUCCACCUGUGCACUAUUGUAGAUGUUGGAGAUUGUCUCUCAAGCGCAAGCUUGGUCUGGAGUUUGCGGGCUUCAUUAAGUUGAAGUCGGCUUUCUCUGUUGAUCUUCAGUAUCUAUUUACAUAUACUCUAUAAUAAGUUUAGAAGGUCUUGAUUGGGCUUUUUUAUGCCUAUAAAUCAAUUAUACAACUUUUAGCAACGGAUCUCUUGGCUCUCGCAUCGAUGAAGAACGCAGCGAAUUGCGAUAAGUAAUGUGAAUUGCAGAAUUCAGUGAAUCAUCGAAUCUUUGAACGCACCUUGCGCUCUUUGGUAUUCCGAAGAGCAUGCCUGUUUGAGUGUCAUUAAAUUCUCAACUCAUUUCAUUUGUUUUUAUCAAAUGAGAUGCAUGUUGGAUGUGGGAGUUUGCGGGCCUUCAUUAAGUUGAAGUCGGCUCUCCUGAAAUGUAUUAGCGGGAACCUUUGUUGGACCGCUUCUAUUGGGUGUGAUAAUUAUCUACGCCUAGGAAGUGUAAAAGACAUUUCAUACAUUCGUGUAUGGGGUUCUGCUCCUAAUCGUCCAUUCACUUGGACAAUUUACUAUGACAUUUGACCUCAAAUCAGGUAGGACUACCCGCUGAACUUAAGCAUAUCAAUAAGCGGAGGAAAAGAAACUAACAAGGAUUCCCCUAGUAACUGCGAGUGAAGCGGGAAAAGCUCAAAUUUAAAAUCUGGUGGUCUUUGACCAUCCGAGUUGUAAUCUAGAGAAGUGUUACCCGCGUUGGACCGUGUACAAGUCUCCUGGAAUGGAGCGUCAUAGAGGGUGAGAAUCCCGUCUUUGACACGGACUACCAAGGCUUUGUGGUGCGCUCUCAACGAGUCGAGUUGUUUGGGAAUGCAGCUCAAAAUGGGUGGUAAAUUCCAUCUAAAGCUAAAUACAGGCGAGAGACCGAUAGCGAACAAGUACCGUGAGGGAAAGAUGAAAAGAACUUUGGAAAGAGAGUUAAACAGUACGUGAAAUUGCUAAAAGGGAAACGCUGGAAGUCAGUCCCGUUCGCUGGGAAUCAACCUUACUCUU